AACGCACAUUGCGCCCUGUGGUAUUCCGCGGGGCAUGCCUGUUCGAGCGUCAUUAUAACCCUUCAAGCCUGGCUUGGUAUUGGGGCUCGCGGUUCCGCGGCCUUCAAACAGAUUAGCAGUCUAAGUAGACCCUAAGUGCAGUAAAUUUCCUCGCUUUUGGGUUCUAUGGUGGCUUGCCUAACCCCAUAUUUUUAAGGUUGACCUCGGAUCAGGUAGGGAUACCCGCUGAACUUAA
rnacentral:misc_RNA from 1 species